rnacentral:rRNA from 1 species
CCUACGGGUGGCAGCAGUAGGGAAUCUUUCACAAUGGGCGAAAGCCUGAUGGAGCAACGCCGCGUGAAGGAAGAAGGCUUUCGGGUUGUAAACUUCUUUUGUCAGGGAAGAGUAGAAGACGGUACGUGAUGAAUAAGCCACGGCUAACUACGUGCCAGCAGCCGCGGUAAUACGUAGGUGGCAAGCGUUUUACGGAUUUACUGGGUGUAAAGGGCGUGUAGCCGGGUUGACAAGUCAGAUGUGAAAUCCUGCGGCUUAACCGCAGAACUGCAUUUGAAACUGUUGAUCUUGAGUACUGGAGAGGCAGACGGAAUUCCUAGUGUAGCGGUGAAAUGCGUAGAUAUUAGGAGGAACACCAGUGGCGAAGGCGGUCUGCUGGACAGCAACUGACGGUGAGGCGCGAAAGCGUGGGGAGCAAACAGGAUUAGAUACCCUUGUAGUC